UCCUAUACUUGAAAAGCUUGUGUGCAAAAUAUCUAUGUCCCACAUGAAGAUUACCAUCUAUCCACAGCUUCCCUUGCAUGUGUGCACCACCAUUGUAUCCGAAACAGAAGUUCAGUUUCAGAAAUAGUCAGAAUAUCUUCCAUGUGUUGAUGAGGUAUAGCACAUAAAAGGUUCCUAUGGCAUAAUCCUAUUCAAUCAUUCCUAGGGUGGAGAUGCAAUGCUACCAUUUCACCAAAGAAGCAGGCUAACAUUUGGCUAUUUGUAAAGUGGCCUGGAGUAUUAGACUCUGCAUUUCCUGACAAGCAUUUCACUCUGGGGAUUUGGACAUUCAGUAUGGGCAAUAAUAACACAAAAUUGUUACCUACCUCUUCAAUGUCAGCUGUUGUUAACAUUGUUCUGGGAUUUUUUUUCUAUAAUUUUUAUUUCUCUGUGAGAAUAUAUUUAGUUAUGGCAAAGGGAGGGUUCUCUUUUCUGUUUGCACCUCCUUUUCUAAAGUGUUUAGUAAAACCGUUGUGAACUACAUAGAAUUCCAGUGCCAGAGGCAACAUUUUAAAAGUUUUUAUAAUCUUAAACCUUUUAAUUGUGAUUUUUUUUCCUUACUGAAAUUCCAUGUUUAUUUGUUUUCCCAAUAAUGUUCUGUUGCUCUAAUAUUUGACUUUCUAAAAAAGUCUUUUUGAGGGAAAAUAUUUUUAAAAUACUGCAAUAAUCUUUUUAUAUUAAAAAUGGGCUGUUGGGACCAAAGAUAUUGUCUCAUUUUCUUGCUUUUUAUUCAUGAAUACAAUUCAGUGUAUCACAGUUAUUACACGUUUUUAUUAUUGUAAACUUCAAAAGCUCUUAGCUGUGUACUGGCACAGGCUCUAUAUCUCAACAUCUUUUUAAAACCAUAGACCAGGGGUCCUCAAACUAAGUCCCGGAGGCCGAAUCCGGCCCUCCAAGGUUAUUUACCCGGCCCUCACUCAGGGUCAACCUAAGUCUGAAAUGACUCGAAAGCAGACAACAACAACAAUCCUAUCUCAUCAGCCAAAAGCAGGCCUACACUUCCCAUUGAAAUACUAAUAUGUUCAUAUUUGCUAAAAUUGUUCUUCAUUUUAAUAUUGCAUUGUUUUAAAGUGUUUUUUUGCACUACAAAUAAGAUAUGUGCAGUGUGCAUAGGAAUUCAUUCUUUCAUUUUUUUCAAAUUAUAAUCCGGCCCUCCAACAGUUUGAGGGACUGUGACCUGGCCCUCUGUUUAGAAAGUUUGAGGACCCCUGCCAUAAACUAUGGAACGCCUGGAACAAUUUCAGCUGUGAGGAGCAAAACAUAUGCUUGUUAAUGCCCCUUUUCCUAUUUGAGUACAGAUGUCAGUAUAAAUGUCAACAUUAAAAUAUGGCCAGCCUACAAAUGUCCAAAAGGUCACUACACUAAAUUAAGAAAGUUACUUUGAAAUCUAAUUCAUAUUAGAUUAUGAUUUAAUUUGAAAUAUUACUUUUUAUCAUGAAUACUGCAGCAAAACCAUGACUGCAUUCAGUAUUGACAUCUGUACAAUAUUGUGUUAAUUUAUGCCCCAGCCAUUCUAGUUUGGGUUUACUACCUGAACAAUGAAACUUCUCACACUUGCUGGUGACAAUCAUUUGUAUGAGAACACAAACGAUAAUUCUUGGGUGUAUGAAUGUCUUGUGUUUAGUAGUAUCAAAGCCAAAAGAAAGAGUUUCAUAAUCCCUGUUUCAGUCCAACAUGAAUUGUAUUAGACCAAUGCACAGGAUGUUCAAGCAUUCUGGUCCUUCUAGAACAAGGGUCCUCAAACUAAGGCCCAGGGGCUGAAUGUGGCCCUCCAAGGUCAUUUACCCGGCCCUCGCUUAGGGUCAACCUAAGUCUGUAAUGACUUGAAAGCACACAAUAACAAGAACAAUCCUAUCUCAUCAGCCAAAAGCAGGUCCACACUUCCCAUUGAAAUACUAAUAAAUUUAUAUUUGUUAAAAUUGUUCAUUUUAAUUAUUGUAUUGUUUUAAAGUUAUUUUGCACUACAAAUAACAUAUGUUCAGUGUGCAUAGGAAUUCAUUUUUUUUCAAAUUAUAAUCCGGCCCUCCAACAGUUUGAGGGUCUGUGACCUGGCCCUCUGUUUAAAACGUUUGAGGACCCCUGGUCUAGAAUUUGGAAUUCUCAACAUUCCCAUAAAAUGAACAGGCUGUUAAUUGUCAUUGUUUGAAUGGAGAAAUGUAUUUUGCUGCUGCGUGUCCCCAGUACAGGGGAAAGGAGAACAAAAAUGUAAUUUUCUUAUCAAAUAUGUAGUUUUGUUGCAACAAAAGUAUUAAUCUUUUAUAAUUGCCUAAGAUAUUGAAUACAGUUGUAGCCACUCUUUGAUUUUAAAAGGAAGUGUAUGCCAAAAGCUAAAAAAUUAAUUUCCCCCCUGUCCCUUGUUACCUUUUUGUGCAAUAAGAGGCCAUUUAAGAUUUGGUCUACUUUUUCCAAGCCACUUAUGGAAAAGAAGCCCUACUGAAAGAACAGAGAACUUUGUGCAUCUUAAUUUUUCCCACUAUACUACUCAGGAGGCACUAAAUUUUCAUUUUGCUCUAUCCCACAUGUCAUUGAAUUGAUUUAAUGUGAACAGAGUGUAAUGUUAUGGGUUGAGGUGGAGAAAUUCAGGCCCCCAGUUUGAAUAUGAACCUUCAUAACUUCAUAUGAUGGUUUCUAGGCCUUUUGAACAUCCUCUCACUCUUUUUGAAAGGAUAAAAUGACACUUCUAAGACUUUAAGAACUUUAAACUAAAACAUGCCGGCAUUUUAAACCACCUUUUUUUGCCUUUGAUCUCACCCAUCAACGGUCCCCAAAGUCUUCCCUGAAAAUGAAAUCACUCUCAGGUGAAAACAGGUUCUUUGCUCUUAUUAAAGUGUACAGCAGUGGUUCCCAACCUAUAAGUCCCCAGAUGUUUUGGCCUUCAACUCCCAGAAAUCCCAACAGCUAGUAAACUGGCUGGGAUUUCUGGGAGUUGUAGGUCAAAACACCUGGGAACCCACAGGUUAAGAACUACUGGUGUAGAGAAACCAUCAGCUUCUAUGCCUUGAUCCACUAAAGCAGAGGUUGAGAACCACUGCACUAAGGCAAUCGUGUACAAAAACCUAUACCAAUUCACAUUCAGUGAGGAUGAGGUUGGGAUGCACAUUCCCUACAAACAGGGCCUCAGGGUUUCACAUGACUAGAACUGAUGGGAGUCUGGAUGUAUAAAAAGCCUGUGGAACUAGUGCCAAGUCUGUAUCAGUUAUAUGAUGUUGCAAUAACUUUGUAUAGGCAAGAUUUAUAUGACUUUAUCUAAAUGAUUUCAUAGUGUAUCUUUAAUUGUAAGGUCCAAACCUCCUUUCCCUGUUCCUGUCCAAAUGCGGUUGAACCUAAUGGAGAUUUGGCAGGACUAGUAGGGGAUGUAUGUAUAAGGCAAUACGCUACGCAUUGUAAAUGCAUCUAUGAAAGCACAAUUUGUAUAAAUACAUGUCACAUUUUGUAUUACUGAUUUUUUAAAUGUUGAUAAAGACAUUUUAUAUUGUAAAUUAAGCAACAAAAGAAGCGAGAUGUGAAUUUCAUUUUUCAUGUUUGGAGGAUAAUAGAUACUGUAAUAUAGUGUAUUUUGUUAGCUGAAAAUGACAUUUUUGACUGACAUGGAAGUUAGAAGUAUGUUUCAUCCAAAUUAAUAUAGUUACCAAGGAUUAAGACAAGAAUAUUUAGGAAUACAUCAACAUUUUACUCUCUAAAAUAUCCUCAUAUUUCAGAAAGGGAUUUCUGUGUCAUCUAAAGUAGAUUUUUAGCAUGCCUGAGUGGCUACAAGAAGAAUAGGGAUUGCUAAUUUUGGCAGAAGCAGCAGGAUCCAGUGGAUCAUUGGAACCUGGGCCAAGAUCCUGUCUUGUGCAAUCCACAUCAGCAGCCAACAUGGAGUCUUUUGAAAAUUCCUCAUAUGGCAUCUGUUGAUGGUACAUAAAUAUAUACUUGUGCCAAGAACUGCAGUAGUCUCCAUGCUGCAAUAAUUAGUAAGACAAUAGGGAAAUGAUAAACAUUAAAAGGCAAUGAAUCAAGAAAAUAAAGAUUUCUGAUGCCACAACCCUAUCUCUAUAUACUGGGAGUAUGUCCCACUUAACCAAUGGGAGCUCCCUCUGAGAAGCCAUAUAUAAAAUUGUGCUGUGAGCUUAAAAAUACUGAGGGAUUUAUGGAUACGGGGAUUUAAAUAAUAAUAAUAAUAAUAAUUAUUAUUAUUAUUAUUAUUAUUAUUAUUAUUAUUAUUAUUAUUUGCCGAUACAUUACACAGUCCUAGACACUUGGGAAGUGUCCAAUGUGUGAUCCAAUACAACAGCCAGCAGAGUGAUCUUGUCUGCUGUGGACUCAUCUUGUUGUGUUUCAAAUAAUAAUAGUAAUAAUAGUAAUAGAACCACUUUGUCAGACCAUCAGAAAAGUGUAGAGCAUGUUUUGCUCAACCUUAUCCUUCAGGGGGGUAUGUAAUCUGUCUUGUUUUCCACAUGCACCUGGUGAGAUGUUUUGGUAUUCCUCACUUGCCUUUCACAGUAAUAUGAUUCCCAGGAUCCACUGGAAAGAUGGAAUGUCUGUUACUCUAAUCCAGGGGUGGGAAUUGUUCAGCCCUCUAGAUGUUGCAUAUAAUCCCUGAUUAUAAUCCUGGCUACGGCUACCGCUACUGGGACUUGCUGUUCCACAUCUGGUGGGCUCCACAUUCCUCCUCCUACAGUCUUAAGGAUUAAAUCCAGUUAUUAGGAAUAUCUAUUAACCCAAAAUGAAUUUGGUAAGCUAACACUUAAAUAAAUUUCAUUAACUCAAUGCCCCUAUUUUACCUGAAAUUCGUAAAUGGAGUUAGGCCAAAAUUUGUACUGCAAACAUGCCUUGGUGACCUCUAUUCCUUCUUUAACUUGAUGGAUAGUAAGAGGAUAAACUUUAGGGAUGCAUUGCUUCUAUAUUUCUACAUAAACAACAUAUUGUGAAAAGCAAAGGAGCUAUAACAAGAUUGAUACAACGAAGGUGCCAUUUUAGUAAGUCCUCAAGAGAUGCUGACCCUAAAGGGAAACUUUUAUUUAAAUCAGUUGAUAAAGGGAAUUUUGUACAAAGAGAACUGGUCACUUUAAUGAUCUGUGUUUUAGUUCAUCCUUUACAUAAUGAAAACAGCAUAAACGACCAAGAUUUUCUAUUUAAGCAAUACAAUGUAGUCUUAAAUUUCAUAUUCAUUGUUUUUCAGAAAUGAUUGUUCUGUGUUUUUUGAAGCAUGCUCAUUUUAUUUUAAUAAAAUGUAUGAACAAUA